rnacentral:rRNA from 1 species
CGCGUGUACUGGUCCGGCCGGGCCUUUCCCUCUGUGGAACCCCCAUGCCCUUCACUGGGUGUGGCGGGGAAACAGGACUUUUACUGUGAAAAAAUUAGAGUGCUCCAGGCAGGCCUAUGCUCGAAUACAUUAGCAUGGAAUAAUAGAAUAGGACGUGUGGUUCUAUUUUGUUGGUUUCUAGGACCGCCGUAAUGAUUAAUAGGGACAGUCGGGGGCAUCAGUAUUCAAUUGUCAGAGGUGAAAUUCUUGGAUUUAUUGAAGACUAACUACUGCGAAAGCAUUUGCCAAGGAUGUUUUCAUUAAUCAGGAACGAAAGUUAGGGGAUCGAAGACGAUCAGAUACCGUCGUAGUCUUAACCAUAAACUAUGCCGACUAGGGAUCGGACGAUGUUAUAUUUUGACUCGUUCGGCACCUUACGAGAAAUCAAAGUGCUUGGGCUCCAGGGGGAGUAUGGUCGCAAGGCUGAAACUUAAAGAAAUUGACGGAAGGGCACCACCAGGGGUGGAGCCUGCGGCUUAAUUUGACUCAACACGGGGAAACUCACCAGGUCCAGACACAAUGAGGAUUGACAGAUUGAGAGCUCUUUCUUGAUUUUGUGGGUGGUGGUGCAUGGCCGUUCUUAGUUGGUGGAGUGAUUUGUCUGCUUAAUUGCGAUAACGAACGAGACCUUAACCUGCUAAAUAGCCCGUAUUGCUUUGGCAGUACGCUGGCUUCUUAGAGGGACUAUCGG